rnacentral:lncRNA from 1 species
AGGAAUUGUAAUUGAAAAACAAUUCCUUCCAGUUGUUCUUUUUUUUUUUUUUUUUAAUAAAUCUCAAUAAUUCUUACGAGAAGCAUAAUACUGCCACGAGCUUUCUCCUAUAGCCGAAAUUAAAAUUUCCUCCAUUUUACUUUAUAAAAAUGCUUCUUCCUGAUUAGUCAAAGUAGAACAAUGAAGAAUAAAUCUUGAAUCUUAGUCAAGAUCAGAACAACUAAUGACAAUGACAGAGACUGAAUCUUUGGUUAUUGUCGUUGGCACUGUGAAAGGAGCUUAAGAAUGAUAUUUUUUGAUUGUAUUUGUUUUUUUUUAUUCGUGAUAAAGCAUUUAAUAGCACAUAAUGUUCAUAGUUUAACCGUUAUGAUUAUUGUUUUCUUACAAAAAAUACUUCACAAAAUUAUUAAACGAUGGCAGGUUUGGCAAAAUUUUAUUGAGGGACAUUUUAUUUUUAGUUUUUAUGACUUAUUAAAUAGUAAGACUAUUCCAGGAUCCAUCACAGUCUGCUAACAAUAUGAUUGGAUCAGCCAGCAGAUGGGAAUCAAUGGGCUGGGCCUAAUUUCUCUUAAAAAACAGUAAGGAACCUGAAAUUGAACUAGGAUCCUCCAGUUGUAAACAACAGCUUUACACAAAAUAUAUAGAGAUGGAAGUAUACAAUGUAAAAAAUGUAAAAACAACAAGCACUAAACGGCAGUUGAGCAAAUCAAUAAACAAUUUUAUUCACCAC